rnacentral:rRNA from 1 species
CUACGGGAGGCAGCAGUGAGGAAUAUUGCACAAUGGGGGGAACCCUGAUGCAGCAACGCCGCGUGGAGGAUGACGCAUCUCGGUGUGUAAACUCCUUUUAUAUGUCAAGAAAAUGACGGUAGCAUAUGAAUAAGCACCGGCUAACUCCGUGCCAGCAGCCGCGGUAAUACGGAGGGUGCAAGCGUUACUCGGAAUCACUGGGCGUAAAGGACGCGUAGGCGGGUUGGAAAGUCAGGUGUGAAAUCCUACAGCUUAACUGUAGAACUGCACUUGAAACUUCUAAUCUAGAGUAUGGGAGGGGGAGAUGGAAUUAGUGGUGUAGGGGUAAAAUCCGUAGAUAUCACUAGGAAUACCUAAAGCGAAGGCGAUCUCCUGGAACAUUACUGACGCUAAGGCGUGAAAGCGUGGGGAACAAACAGGAUUAGAUACCCGGGUAGUC